CCUACGGGAGGCAGCAGUGGGGAAUAUUGGGCAAUGGGCGCAAGCCUGACCCAGCAACGCCGCGUGAAGGAAGAAGGCUUUCGGGUUGUAAACUUCUUUUCUCAGGGACGAAGCAAGUGAUGGUACCUGAGGAAUAAGCCACGGCUAACUACGUGCCAGCAGCCGUGGUAAUACGUAGGUGGCAGGCGUUAUCCGGAUUUACUGGGUGUAAGGGGCGUGUAGGCGGGAAAGCAAGUCAGAUGUGAAAACCAUGGGCUCAACCUGUGGCCUGCAUUUGAAACUGGUUUGCUUGAGUACUGGAGAGGCAGACGGAAUUCGUAGUGUAGCGGUGAAAUGCGUAGAUAUUAGGAGGAACCCCAGUGGCGAAGGCGGUCUGCUGGACAGCAACUGACGCUGAGGCGCGAAAGCGUGGGGAGCAAACAGGAUUAGAUACCCUAGUAGUC
rnacentral:rRNA from 1 species